UGCAAAUAAUGAAAGUUGGGCUUCCAAACAUUAGAGAAAGAAAUUAGACACAAGGAAAAGGAAGACACUAACGUGAACCCUGUGGUGUUGGACUGGAAUCACAGGCAAUGACCAGGCCAGGUAUUAAGUGUCACAUGAGCGCUGGCUUCUGACCAGCAAGUGCUUACCUGGAGGAGAUAGAGGAGUCCUGGAACGAACAAGGAGACACCAGGGAACCAAAUAAACACAGCCACCUCCUGCCUUAAUUGCCUGAGAUCAGUAAUUACUUGUCUGGAGCAGCUGACUCUCUAUAAGGCCCAGGAGAGAAGAAAUGGCUCAUAGCAUCAUAGAAAGGACUUGUGAGUUUCAGAACACCUCCUCCGAAGAUCAGGAAGAAGCAGUCUUCCUUCCUUAGAUGAAAUCAUUCAUAAGGAAAAACCUGUUCCUUCUGCCAUUCUCUACCAGUAAGCGGCAUCAAUAUCUCCCUGGCUACUGCAGUGAUCUUUCACCUUCCCUGCCCUACACUCCCUCCAGCAGCCAUCAAGGCCUCCUGGUCAACCUCUGGAACAUCCACCCCUGCAGUUCCUGCUCUCAUCCGUUGCUUCUCCUCCUCAAUGGUCAUCCCAGUCUCCUCCCAUCUAGUCCGCCGGAGAAGUACCAGAAGAAUCCUUCUAAAACACAGAUUAUAUCGUGACAAGCCCCUCUUUAGACACUUCUGAUGCUUCUAUUUCAUCUAGCGGAUUAAGUCCAAACUGCAGCAGCAAACAAGGCCCUUCGCUAUCUGGGUCUUAAUUCUCCAGCUUCACCUCUCACUGCUCUCCUACACACAUCCCAUCCUCCAGCUACUCUGGACCAUUCCCUCAUUUCUGAAAACACCAUACCCUUUCUUUCCUGUGUCUGUUCUCAGCCUAUUCCUUCUGCCCAAGCUGUCUUUCCCUGCCCCCCUUCUGGUAAAGACACAUCCUCUAGUGGCCAAUUGAAAUGUCACUUCCUCUAUGAAGCCUAAGCAGAAAGGAUAACAGUAGUG